rnacentral:lncRNA from 1 species
CAAUCUUAAAAUCCUAAAUCUUCUUACUCCACAAGCUUGAAAUUUUGGCAACUCCAGGAAAUUCAGUGAAACUCUCAAGGUGCUGAAGAUUACCGAAAAAGGAUUGUCAUCAGAGCCAUCACACAGGUAGUCAUUGUCCCUGAUGCUCCCCUGACUGGAAUUGCUCCUGAUGAAAUGCAAGCUCAUCCACCCUGUGUGACUAAAGGUAUUAAAAGCUAUGAAGAAUAUGGACAGGUGGCCUAUGAAAACAACUUGAAAGUAGCUAAUGAAGAUACUCAGAGGCCAGUUGAGCUGAAAGUCUUCCCAAGAAAACAGCCCUAUAUUCCAAAUGCUUUAGCUAUAUCCUCUAUCACCAAGAUGACCAAGGACAUGAACCAAAUGCAACAUACACAAAAACAAAUAAGCAAUGAAGUUUAUGAGAAAAGAAGGUUGAAGAACAAUACACCUUUUCUACCACAGCAAUGCUAUUCUGCAGGGUGGGAUGCGUUCCUCUGGAAGGAUACAGCCAGAAUUGCCCCUCGUUGCCUCAGAAAGUUUUGGAAUUGGAAGUGUGGGGGCGUUUAGGCCCUGAGGAAGUCUGGGUGGUGGGCCACGUCCCCACGCCUCAGCUGACCCUAACGAAAAUGGGGAGCAGUCCACCCUUCCCCUUCCUCUACCUUUCCUGGAGCAGAAGGGAGGAGAGAACUCGCAGCUCUGAAAAGGACCAGAGAUAGGAAUAUUUUCCUGAAAACCGUAACUUACCUUCAUUUAGAAAACGUUGCUGAUUCCUGAGUAUCUCACAGAUUCCAGUUCCUAUGGGAAAGCAGGACUCUUACCAAAAGAAGGAAAACAUAUUAGCUGAACAGUGACUGGAGAGAUGAGGAUGAAUUUCUCUAGAAACAGAUUUCAUGGGCUUGCUGCUUAUACCCAGAGAUCAGUGCUGUGCAGCUUGGGGGGUGGGGUGUCAUUUACAUGAUAUUCUGUGGCGCCUGAAGAAUUUUCAGUGACAUAGAAUGUGAUGUGAAUGGGUUACCUGCAUUUUUAUACCCUCAAGCCCACACUCCAAACCUAACGUCAGGGCGAAUAAAAUGCAUGAAUUGACUGGUACCUUGAUGUGGCUUGGGUAUGGGAACCCCAGAUCCCAGCUUCAGGCACUGUGAAUUUCUCUGGUACCAGGUGCUGCCUAAGGGAAUCAGCUUUCUUGAG